rnacentral:rRNA from 1 species
CCUACGGGAGGCAGCAGUGAGGAAUAUUGGUCAAUGGCCGGAAGGCUGAACCAGCCAAGCCGCGUGAAGGACGAAGGUGCUAAGCAUUGUAAACUUCUUUUGUCAAGGGACAAAAUCAGGCUCGAGAGCCUGACCGUGGGUACUUGAAGAAACAGCAUCGGCUAACUCCGGUACAGCAGCCGCGGUAAUACGGAGGAUGCGAGUGUUAUCCGGGUUGAGUGGGUUUUAAGGGUGCGUAGGCGGGCUGUUAAGUCAGCGGUAAAAGCCCGGGGCUCAACCCCGGCGAGCCGUUGAAACUGGCUGUCUUGAGAUGUCGAGAGGUAUGCGGAAUGCGCGGUGUAGCGGUGAAAUGCUUAGAUAUUGCGCAGAACUCCGAGUGCGAAGGCAGCAUACCGGCGGGGAUCUGACGCUGAGGCACGAAAGCGUGGGUAUCGAACAGGAUUAGAUACCCGGGUAGUC